rnacentral:lncRNA from 1 species
AUGUCCUCUGUAACUGGAACAAAACACAGAAAAAUGAGUAGUCUACUAUCGUCAGAAGAAUCUCCGCAUCUCCCUGCCAAACUUCAGGGGAUCCAGAGAUUGGCAGUGCCCAAAGGCUACAAAACCCAGACCCUGCACGCCUGGCCACUGAGGGCUGAGGCUGUCACUUGGUAUGGGGGCUGUUCCCAGAGCGGUGCCGGGGGAUGUCACCCCGGGGCUGCCAGUGUCACCGAGGGCUGUCAGUGUCCCCCUGGGGUCUGUCAGUGUCCCCCGGGGCUGUCAGUGUCACCUCGGGUCUGCCAGUGUCACCGAGGGCUGCCAGUGUCCCCCUGGGAUCUGUCAGUGUCCCCCGGGGCUGCCAGUGUCACCGAGGGCUGUCGGGUCUGCCAGUGUCCCCCGGGGCUGUCAGUGUCACCGAGGGCUGUCAGCGUCCCCCUGGGGUCUGUCAGUGUCCCCCGGGUCUGCCAGUGUCCCCCUGGGGUCUGUCAGUGUCCCCCUGGGGUCUGUCAGUGUCACCUCGGGGCUGCCAGUGUCACUGAGGGCUGCCAGUGUCCCCCUGGGGUCUGCCAGUGUCCCCCGGGGCUGUCAGUGUCACCGAGGGCUGUCAGCGUCCCCCUGGGGUCUGUCAGUGUCCCCCGGGUCUGCCAGUGUCCCCCUGGGGUCUGUCAGUGUCCCCCUGGGGUCUGUCAGUGUCACCUCGGGGCUGCCAGUGUCACUGAGGGCUGCCAGUGUCCCCCUGGGGUCUGCCAGUGUCCCCCGGGGCUGUCAGUGUCACCGAGGGCUGUCAGCGUCCCCCUGGGGUCUGUCAGUGUCCCCCGGGUCUGCCAGUGUCCCCCUGGGGUCUGUCAGUGUCCCCCUGGGGUCUGUCAGUGUCACCUCGGGGCUGCCAGUGUCACUGAGGGCUGCCAGUGUCCCCCUGGGGUCUGCCAGUGUCCCCCGGGGCUGUCAGUGUCACCGAGGGCUGUCAGCGUCCCCCUGGGGUCUGUCAGUGUCCCCCGGGUCUGCCAGUGUCCCCCUGGGGUCUGUCAGUGUCCCCCUGGGGUCUGUCAGUGUCACCUCGGGGCUGCCAGUGUCACUGAGGGCUGCCAGUGUCCCCCUGGGGUCUGCCAGUGUCCCCCGGGGCUGUCAGUGUCACCGAGGGCUGUCAGCGUCCCCCUGGGGUCUGUCAGUGUCCCCCGGGUCUGCCAGUGUCCCCCUGGGGUCUGUCAGUGUCCCCGGGGGGGGGGGGGG